GCCCCCUGAGAAUUUUUAAAGGGCCGCAGUAUCCUGACUGUGCUAAGGUAGCGUAAUCAACUGUCCCCUAAAUAGUGACCUGUAUGAAUGGCUGCACGAAGGAGUAGCUAUCUCUGAUAUAUAUAAGGAAGUUAACCUUUUAGUUAAAAGGCUAAAAUAAUCUAAUAAGACGAGAAGACCCUAAAGAGUUUAGACACCAAAAUCUAUAAGGACCAGUAACCUUCCGUCUCUUUUAAGUUUAGGUGUUUAGUUGGGGUGAUUAAAAAAUAAAAAAAACUUUUCUUCUUAAACAACUUCUUCAAAGGACUUAUACCAGAUCCGAUUGUAGCGAUUAAAAGAAAAAAUUACCUUAGGGAUAACAGCGUAAUACUUAUUGAGAGUCCGUAUUGACAUAAGUGUUUGCGACCUCGAUGUUGGACUAAAAAUACUUCAUAAUGCAGCAGUUAUGGAAGUGGGUCUGUUCGACCCUUAAAUUUUUACACGAUCUGAGUUCAGACCGGCGUGAGCCAGGUUG
rnacentral:rRNA from 1 species